rnacentral:lncRNA from 1 species
AUCCCCAACUCCUUGGCAAUCUUGAGACCAAUAGCUAGAGCUCCAUAUUCUGCCUCAUUAUUAGUAGCUAGGAACUCGAAGCAAAGGGUGUAUUUGGCGACCGUCCCAUUCGAUCCUGAGAAAAUCAACCCUGCUCCCGAUCCCAUGGGGCUAGAUGAUCUGUCGACAUACAGCUCCCAAGCACCCGAGCCGAACCUCGAUUGGCCCUUGCAGGUCUGUUCCCAGGAUUUGGCUUCUUUGGUCACUUUGGGCUCAUCUGGAAUGGUGCAUUCU